UGAGUACGAGAGGCUACGGCCUCGAAGCAGUCUAUGUCAUACUUCCAAGAAAAGCUUGCAAUGUCAGAAACAAAUAAUGCCUGUACCAUAACCGACACAGGUGGGUAGGUAGAGUAUACUAAGGGGCGCGAGAUAACUCUCUCUAAGGAACUCGGCAAAAUGACUCCGUAACUUCGGGAGAAGGAGUGCCUUAUUUAUAAGGUUGCAAUAACAAGAUCCAAGCAACUGUUUAUCAAAAACACAGGUCUCCGCUAAGUCGUAAGACGAUGUAUGGGGGCUGACGCCUGCCCAGUGCCAGAAGGUUAAAGAAGUUGGUUAGCAUUCGCAAAGCUGAUAACUGAAGCCCUGGUGAACGGCGGCCGUAACCAUAACGGUCCUAAGGUAGCGAAAUUCCUUGUCGGGUAAGUUCCGACCCGCACGAAAGGCGUAAUGAUUUGGAUACUGUCUCGGAGAGGGGCUCGGUGAAAUAGACUUGUCUGUGAAGAUGCGGACUACCUGCACCAGGACAGAAAGACCCUAUGAAGCUUUACUGUAACUUGAAAUUGAAAUUGGACUUUAUUUGCGCAGUAUAGGUGGGAGGCGUUGAUAAUAUUCUUGUGGGAAUAUUGGAGCCAUCAGUGAGAUACCACUCUUGUAAUGUUAGAUCUCUAACUUUGUAUCAUUAUCUGGUCAAAGAACAGUUUCAGGCGGGCAGUUUGACUGGGGCGGUCGCCUCCCAAACGGUAACGGAGGCGUACAAAGGUUUCCUCUGAACGGGUAGAAAUCGUAUCUAGAGUAUAAAGGCAUAAGGAAGCUUGACUGUGAGACCUACAAGUCGAGCAGGGACGAAAGUCGGUCUUAGUGAUCUGACGGUGCUGAGUGGAAAGGCCGUCACUCAACGGAUAAAAGUUACUCUAGGAUAACAGGCUGAUCUCCCCCAAGAGUUCACAUCGACGGGGAGGUUUGGCACCUCGAUGUCGGCUCAUCGCAUCCUGGGGCGGUAGUACGUCCCAAGGGUUGGGCUGUUCGCCCAUGAAAGCGGUACGCGAGCUGGGUUCAGAACGUCGUGAGACAGUUCGGUCCAUACCCGGUGUAGGCGUUAGAAUAUUGAGAGGAGCCUUCUUUAGUACGAGAGGACCGAGAAGGACAUACCUCUGGUGUACCAGUUAUCGUGCCAACGGUAAACGCUGGGUAGCUAUGUAUGGAGAGGAUAACCGCUGAAAGCAUCUAAGUGGGAAGCCCACCUCAAGAUAAGUAUUCU
rnacentral:rRNA from 1 species